GCGGGGAUGAUGAAAUCGGUAGCCAUACGGGACUUAAAAUCCCGAGCCGCAAGGCGUGCGGGUUCGAGUCCCGCUCCCCGCA
rnacentral:tRNA from 1 species